rnacentral:rRNA from 1 species
GACGAACGCUGGCGGCGUGCUUAACACAUGCAAGUCGAACGGAAAGGCCCUGCUUUUGUGGGGUGCUCGAGUGGCGAACGGGUGAGUAACACGUGAGUAACCUGCCCUUGACUUUGGGAUAACUUCAGGAAACUGGGGCUAAUACCGGAUAGGAGCUCCUGCUGCAUGGUGGGGGUUGGAAAGUUUCGGCGGUUGGGGCUGGACUCGCGGGUUAUCAGCUUGUUUGUGGGGUAGUGGCUUACCAAGGCUUUGACGGGUAGCCGGCCUGAGAGGGUGACCGGGGACAUGGGGACUGAGGUACGGAGCAGACUGCUACGGGACGCAGCAGUCGGGAAUAUUGCGCAAUGGGCGGGCGCCUGAUGUAGCGGCGCCGCGAUCGGGAUGACGGGCUUCGAGUUGUAAACCGCUGUCGCCUGUAACGAAGCGUGAGUGACGGUAAUGGGUAAGGAAGCACCGGCUAACUACGUG